UGCCAUUGCACUCCAACUUGGGCAACAAGAGCAAAACAUCUCUGAAAAAAAAAAGAGUAAAACACUGGUUGCUCUCUGUUUUAGUAAUGUGUUAUUUAUUAGGUAAAUGUGAUACAUAUUAAGUAAAGUGGGAUUUUUCUUAGAGAAGAUAUUUAUCUCUAUUGAGGUAGCAAAAUAAAUAUGUAUAGAUUGAAUGAAUUUGUCUCCCUUUAGGUUUAAAUAAGAAAUGGGUGUGUGUGUUUUCUUGGCCUAUUCCUAUUUUUCCUGGCUUAUUCAUAUUCUAAUUCCUCUUGUUUAUAUAAUUAUUCACUUUGAUCACCUCAUAUAUCUUAUCUUUUUCGGGUGGCCUAAAAGCAAAAAUAUUCUUACAGUCUAGUCAGCAUUUGCUGUGCUUCUUAUUAUUGUACUUGUUUAGCACAAACUUGAUGCUGAUUCUACUUCUCAUUCUUCAUGACAAAACAAGUGGAAAAAAUAUCUGGGAAUUGGCUCUAUGACAUGGCUAAAUAACACUAAUAUGGGUCUUGUGCUCUUAAUCUAUAAAAUGGGAAUAAUAAAAAUAUCAAGUCUGUAAUCACUGCUAUAUGAAAACCCCGAGUUUUAUGAGUGCUUCUGGGAAUACCUAGUAAAGAAAACAUAUCUGUGUGCUUUAUCUUUUAAUAGUUAAAAACAGUUUUGACAAUAAGUAGUUUAUAUUUAUUAGUUAUUAUAAUACAUAUAAUUGUAAAUAGUUUAUAGGUAUUAGUUAUUAUAAUAUACAUGUACAUAUAACACAUUCAUAUAAACUAUAAGUAGUUUAUACAUAUUAGUAAUUAUAAUAUACCUAUUAUAAUAACUAAGAAUAGAAAAGCAAUGUAGAAACUAAGAGUUAUAUAAUACCCAUAGUAAUUAAUCAAUAAGCAAAUACUAUUUUUAGUAUUUUUAUACUAUUUGUAUAUGUAUUCAUUACUUUAUGUAUAUAAUUCUUUAUAUAAUUCUUAGGUUCUAUAAUACCUUUAUUCUGUAUAUUUUGAAUUAUGUAUUUAAUAGCCUAAUAUAUUUCUAAUUUGCAGAAAACAAGGAAAAUUGUCUUCCUUCAAUUAUUAUAAGUAUGCAUUUCUUUAUCCAGGGAGGCUAAAAGGCAAGAUCAUAACAAGCUAUUAUAUGGAAAAUUGGUUCUUCAAAAUAUUCCUUUUAAAAUUGAGGCAACAGAAUCAUUUUUCCCUCUCAUUGUAUGUUUAACUUAAAAUUGUUUCAACAACAAUAUGUAGAUUGCCAGUUCAAGUUCUCAGGUGUAACAAGACUCACAUUUCUUUGUUAUACAAUAUAAUAUAAAUAUAAAGUAAAACAUUAUAUUAAAAUGAAAGUUUUAUAAUAUUUAGACAUUAAUAUCUCAGCCUUUCAUUAGCAUAUUAUUUGAAGAAAGGCAUUCACUUUUUCACAGGUUACUUCCUUGCUCCUGAAAAUGACGAUGUUCUAUUUUCUACUAUUUUUGUCUAAAAAUUUAAACAGGUUAGUAUAUCCUCUGCAUAAAUGCUACAAAAUACAAUGCACAAUAAUUUUGUUAAAAUUACUAAAUAUUAGUAAAAAAUUCGAUUAGUUUUCUUAAUAAUUGUUUCCUUAUUUUUCAUAUCUAUAUAUGCAGUCAUUCUAAAGUUAAGGACUACUCUCUUGAUAAUGGAGAAAUCUUUCAACACACAAAAACAAAAUUUUUAUUGUCUUUUAAAUAGGUCCUGAGAAGAGGACUAGAAAAAGGCAACACAUCAAAAAGUUAAGAGGCAGAAAUAGCUUUUAUGUUGCUGGUAAAUUUAAUGAGAUCUUAAGUUUUUCGACUGGCAAGUCUCAUCUCUUUGAGCAUCUCAGUGAAGACUGUCAGAAAUCAUCAAAAUUCAACACAACAGAGUAAAAGCUAAUAGCAUUUUUGUUAUACCAAAACUGAAAGGAUUGAUGUUCUUAAGUAACAAAAAGCAAUAAAGAUAAAAUACAGGACAUCAAAGAUAUCACAUACAUUCAUAUAUCUCAAGAAAUGAAAGCAAUGAAAGAGCUGUGAUAUGAUCCAUAUUUUUUGUUUAUUGACAACUAAUGCAAAAUUCCAAACAAUAAUGAAGCAACUACAGAUUGGGGAAAAUAGUAAAUCAGAAAGAGCAAUUGAGAGAGCCUUUUUAGAAAAAAGUUUUCUCCUUUGGAAUUAUGUUACAUUUUGAGUAAUUAUUAUGAUAUUCAACCAUUAAUUUAUACAUUUGUUUUUAAUUUAACAUAUAUUUUGAGUACUAAAUAUAUCAGGCACUAUUAUAGGUGCUUGUGCUAAUUAACAACCAGUUUUCUAGAAUGUGUAAAGUGCCAUAGAAAAUACCUCUUGGGUUCUAUGCUCACUACCUGGAUGAUGGGUUCAGUCAUACCCAAACCUCAGCAUCAUGCAGUAUACUCUGUAACAAACACUCACAUAUAUCCUCAAAUCUAAAAGUUGAAAUU
rnacentral:lncRNA from 1 species